GAGGCGUCAUGGCCUCGGCGUACUGCUCAGUAACACGUGGACAACCUGCCCAAAGGUCCGGGAUAACCCCGGGAAACUGGGGAUAAUACCGGAUAGGUCACAAAUACUGGAAUUUGUUUUGUGGUUGAAACUUCCGGGGCCUUUGGAUGGGUCUGCGGCGGAUUAGGUUGUUGCCGGUGUAACGUACCGUCAAGCCUGUAAUCCGUACGGGUUGUGGGAGCAAGAGCCCGGAGAUGGAUUCUGAGACACGAAUCCAGGCCCUACGGGGCGCAGCAGGCGCGAAAACUCUACAAUGCAGGCAACUGCGAUAGGGGAACAUCGAGUGCUCA
rnacentral:rRNA from 1 species